AUCCUGAAGAGUUCCAAAUAGGACGAAACGCGAGUCCUGCAU
rnacentral:hammerhead_ribozyme from 1 species